rnacentral:rRNA from 1 species
CACGUAGGGGGCGAGCGUUGUCCGGAUUUAUUGGGCGUAAAGAGCUCGUAGGCGGCUAAGUAAGUCAGGUGUGAAAACUCCAGGCUCAACCUGGAGACGCCACCUGAUACUGCUUUGGCUUAGAGUCCGGUAGGGGAGCAUGGAAUUCCUGGUGUAGCGGUGGAAAUGACGCAGAUAUCAGGAGGAACACCAGUGGCGAAGGCGGCUCACUGGUCCGGUACUGACGCUGAUGUGCGAAAGCGUGGGGAGCAAACAGG